AUUCUCUACAACUUGGUACAAUUAUUUUGGCAAGAAACUAUCUUUGGUAGCAAGGAGAAUUUGUUGGUAAAAAGAUUCUGGACGAGAUUGGAAUCGAAGCCAAGCGAGCGUAAGGCGCAAUCGAGGUACAGACGCACCUGAAGAUACGCCGCCAGUCUAGGGCUCAGAUUCUGUUAUUUUGAAGAGCUCCUUUGGUCCGGAGCGUGUACUUUUG